rnacentral:lncRNA from 1 species
CAUCACACGAAAAAGAAAACAUUCUUUAUUCACCAUUGCUACUCUGUUCGAACCUAAGCUACCUCCCUUAGAUCUUCACAGAGUCGAUAAAUCUUGUUCCUCUACAAAAAUGUUCAUAGAACCCAGCCAGGUACACCUUGGCUUUGAUUUUCCUGUACCGUGCUAGUUGCUUCUCAUGUAACAGAGCUGUUGCCGGCUCAAUCUCUUUCUCAGGAUCCAGGCCAUGGAACAUAGCCAAUGAGAUCCUCUCUUUCCCCAUGUUUGUGACAACCCUGUGCACUGGGCUCUUGAAGAUCCCAUUGCUCAUUAUCUGUGUCCGUAAAGAUCAUACCAGAGGAUCAACAACCAGAAUAUGCAUCAUGACAGGUAUAACAAUGCAGAUAAUUUUGAAUUGUGAGUACCUCCGAGAAGUCUCCUAUGUUAACCAACAACCUGUGGGGACUAGUUGGGACAUUGUGCCACACGCCAUCUCUAAGAACUUGAAGUCCACCAACAUCUUUAUCCAUGAGAAGAAUGGUAAGAACACCGCCGUCAGAAUGAGGCUUGGCGCCAAAGACAAUAUCUGGUCUUGGACAGGGUGGGUAGUAGUUGAAUCUGGCAAAACUAGGAGCCUUGCCGCUAAAUUGGGCAACGAUGUAAUCUUCGUCAAGUCCUAGAGACUUGGCCAUUGCCCGAAGGAUACGAUCUUUGAUUCUCUUGCAGUUCAACGUGUACUUGUGUAAAAGAGCCCUGUAUAUAGCUUCAAGUUAGUCCAGCUCCAGUCAAACUAUUUUAGAUUACUGAUGCUAUCAUUUCCAACUUUAGGUACAUCACUGACACUCAUGAUAUAAACAAGUAAACGCAAUUUAUUCUUACAAAAUAGACAACAUUACCUGAAAGAAUUGGGAUGUUCAGGCCAAUGGACAAGAUUCCUCUCAUCUUCUGGCUCUACCCUGAGAUGAAGUCGGUCCAACCAGUCCAGGAUUUGAUCCUUGGAUGCCACUGGGUCAUUUCCAUAUCCUUCCACCUGGUAAUGCUUGCCGUCUAUCAAAUUACUGCACUUCUGUUUCUCUUCGAGCGGCAGAUGGAAAAACUCUCUUGACGCGUUGAUCAAAUCAUCCAUCAAAGAAGUUUCUAUUCCAUGAUUAUCAAUCUGUAUAUACAACGAACAUACACAUCAUCUCUUGUAAUGCAAAAGGCGCAAUAAAACUAGUAGCAUGCAAGAAGAACAAGAACAAGAGCUGAGAGGAUCACCAGGAAGAGCCCCCAGCUCUGCAAGGCCAACCGGAGCUUGCUUCCCUCCUCAUCAGCACCAUCAGCAGCCAACAGCCGGCUGAGAUCAAUUACAGGGAUGGCCUCCGGCUUCUCAGCACCAACCACUAGGCUGACGGGAUGCUGCUGCUCUGGCUGCACGUACCUGCUUGGUGGCUCCUGCACCUUGGCUGCCAGUUCUUGCACUAACAUAGGAAUCUUCCAUGAUUCAUUCGCCAUUAGUGCUCUCGUGGAGUGUUUUCCUUGAAUUUAUUGCUAGAUAGACUUCACUAGCUUACAAGGGGCUUAAGGUCCAACUUCGCUUGGCAAAUUGGACUUCUGGAAAGCACAGUUCUAGUUAAGAGUUCUUUUGUUGAAAAAAUACUUGGUACAUUAGCUUCAUUUAGUCACUGUCAAAGAAUAGAUUAGCUUCAUUUAGUCACUGUCAAAGAAUAGAUGGGCCACCAACCACAUACAGGCAUUGCUGUCACUAUCUGAACCAUAGAAUAUGAUAAAUAAAAUAUUGGCUAUUAAUUCAUCUGAUGACAGCUUGACAAGAAAUUCCAGCUUCAAACAAUUUUGCACUAAACCAACUAGAUCCAUCAGAACUGGAAAAAGGAUAACACUACAAGAGUACAUGUUUAGUCAAUUUUGGAUUGAGAUUUUUCUCAAGGAAUAUCAACUUGACAAUUAAACUAUCAUAUGACUGAGCGGUACUUCACUUUUGUUUUCCUUUGGCAGAAGGUUUUCAGUACAAUUUCUCGUUUUGUCCUCUGCAAAUGCACAUGCUGCAACAAAAUGCUAAGAGCGAGGUGCUUCGAAAUUCUCUCCUUUGAUGAAAGGUAUUUCCAUAAAAAAGGAUGCUAACUUGGAGCAAUGUCCAUAUACAACAGCAAUGUCCUUAACAACCAAACCAUCAUUAAUCUCGAAAUUUCCAGAGCCCAGAAUUUGGAGCAAUUAGUUCAAUUCGAAUAAAUCCACGCAAACUAAAUAUGAUUAACAGACGAAUUGACUCAAUAGAACGAAACAAAGAAUUGAGAGCUAACCUCUCUGUCAGUGGUUGAUUUGUUGCUUCAACUGUGCUCCCCACACAUGGCACGC